CAUCAAUCACAGUAUCACCAGACAUAACCGAGCCACUAAUUAGGUCACAAAAUGGAAUGGAGAUCCAUCACCAUAAAGUACGUCUAACCGACUAUCUUUUCUUCUAGUCGUCGUGGUGGUGCAUCACCUUUAGUUAGAGAAACAGCAGCGAUGCAACUUAACGUAGAGUUGUUUGGGGGUAUUCAAAACCUGUUGUUGCAAUUGAUAUUGCUUGGAAUUUAGCCUUUUCAAUUGUUUCUAUCGGUCUUCCGAUUCUGAUGUCGAUGAUAGUGAGGAGGAAGAAAGUGGAGGGGAUUCAAAUUCUGGGAGUCGUUCAAGUUUUGCUAAGCGAGGUGAAUUCCCCGUACAAUAGCAUCCUCUAUGAGGUGGAUGGGUUGUCUCUGGUGGUGAAGUCCUCUUGCAGAAUGCUUCGCGUCUAUAUUGGUUGACUGUAGUUUUUCUGGCAUUUGAUGUAUGUUUUUCCAUCUCUUGUGUUGCUUUGGCAUGUGUCAUUAAGAUCGCACUUAGCUGCUGUUUCCCUUGCAUCAUUGAAUUUCUUUAUGCUGAGGUAGGCCAGGAAGGUGCAUCAUAAGCAGAUCUCAGUAUGCUUCCAAGAUGUAGAGUCUAGAUUAAUAGCGAGGAGAAACAUAGCACAAGAGAAAAGAAAAUGGUUCUUCUAACAAUGAAUGGUGGAGAAUUGGCAGAUGAACGUGUUGUUUCACGAUGCGGUAAUUGUUUCUUUUUAUCAUGGAGUUGGAUAGUCCUAUUGGUGCUAAUUAAAGUUUUGUCGCUCAACGAAUAUAAUUUCCAACAAUUGUGGCACAACAAUGCUGCAAAUGCCUCACUUCAUAUGAUGAGGGAGCUGAAAUUCAGGGCCUGUCAUGCAAUCAUCAGUUUCAUGAAACAUGCAUCGUGAAAUGACAUAAGGUCAAUGC